rnacentral:sRNA from 1 species
UGUGAUCUCAUGUGUUUAUGUUUUCAC